rnacentral:rRNA from 1 species
UACGUAGGGAGCAAGCGUUGUCCGGAAUCAUUGGGCGUAAAGCGCGCGUAGGCGGCCAGAUAAGUCCGGUGUGAAAGUCACAGGCUCAACCUGUGAAUGCCGCUGGAAACUGUCUGGCUAGAGUCCGGAAGGGGCGAGUGGAAUUCCUGGUGUAGCGGUGAAAUGCGCAGAUAUCAGGAGGAACACCAAUGGCGAAGGCAGCUCGCUGGAACGGUACUGACGCUGAGGCGCGAAAGCGUGGGGAGCGAACAGG